CGGCAGUCGGGGCGGUGGUUUUGGGUGACGGAGUCCGUGGCCUGCUGCGCUUCGGUGAACUUCUUUGUCUUGGUGCGCAGGCCGCGGCGCGCACCCUGCGGAGGAGGUGUGCUGGCGGCGCUCUGAGCCUGUGCGUUUGCGGACGGAGACUUGUGGAAGAAAUGGCAAUAAACGAGCGUGGUUACAGAGGCUUCACUGGAGAGAGUGGCGCCACCAAGCGCCUUUCCUGAGAACUACACUCAGCAUCUCAGCCUCAAAACCACCUGAGCUUUGAAUCGUGUCUAGAGGGCACAAGCCAGUGGAGUAGUAGGCAGAAGGCAAAGGAGAAGCAGGCUCUCCGCCGAACAGGGAAC